AUGCAAGUCGAACGGUAACAGGGGAGCUUGCUCCCGCUGACGAGUGGCGAACGGGUGAGUAAUGCAUCGGAACGUACCGAGUAAUGGGGGAUAACUAUCCGAAAGGAUGGCUAAUACCGCAUACGAUCUCUAGGAUGAAAGUGGGGGACCUUCGGGCCUCACGUUAUUCGAGCGGCCGAUGCCUGAUUAGCUAGUUGGUGAGGUAAGAGCUCACCAAGGCGACGAUCAGUAGCGGGUCUGAGAGGAUGAUCCGCCACACUGGGACUGAGACACGGCCCAGACUCCUACGGGAGGCAGCAGUGGGGAAUUUUGGACAAUGGGGGCAACCCUGAUCCAGCCAUGCCGCGUGUAUGAAGAAGGCCUUCGGGUUGUAAAGUACUUUUGUUAGGGAGGAAAAUUUAUCCAUUAAUACUGGGUAAAGCUGACAGUACCUAAAGAAUAAGCACCGGCUAACUACGUGCCAGCAGCCGCGGUAAUACGUAGGGUGCAAGCGUUAAUCGGAAUUACUGGGCGUAAAGCGAGCGCAGGCGGUUUGUUAAGUCAGAUGUGAAAGCCCCGAGCUCAACUUGGGAAUUGCGUUUGAAACUGGCAAGCUAGAGUGUGUCAGAGGGGGGGUAGAAUUCCACGUGUAGCAGUGAAAUGCGUAGAGAUGUGGAGGAAUACCGAUGGCGAA
rnacentral:rRNA from 1 species